rnacentral:rRNA from 1 species
GAUGAACGCUGGCGGCGUGCCUAAUACAUGCAAGUCGAGCGAACGGACGAGAAGCUUGCUUCUCUGAUGUUAGCGGCGGACGGGUGAGUAACACGUGGAUAACCUACCUAUAAGACUGGGAUAACUUCGGGAAACCGGAGCUAAUACCGGAUAAUAUUUUGAACCGCAUGGUUCAAAAGUGAAAGACGGUCUUGCUGUCACUUAUAGAUGGAUCCGCGCUGCAUUAGCUAGUUGGUAAGGUAACGGCUUACCAAGGCAACGAUGCAUAGCCGACCUGAGAGGGUGAUCGGCCACACUGGAACUGAGACACGGUCCAGACUCCUACGGGAGGCAGCAGUAGGGAAUCUUCCGCAAUGGGCGAAAGCCUGACGGAGCAACGCCGCGUGAGUGAUGAAGGUCUUCGGAUCGUAAAACUCUGUUAUUAGGGAAGAACAUAUGUGUAAGUAACUGUGCACAUCUUGACGGUACCUAAUCAGAAAGCCACGGCUAACUACGUGCCAGCAGCCGCGGUAAUACGUAGGUGGCAAGCGUUAUCCGGAAUUAUUGGGCGUAAAGCGCGCGUAGGCGGUUUUUUAAGUCUGAUGUGAAAGCCCACGGCUCAACCGUGGAGGGUCAUUGGAAACUGGAAAACUUGAGUGCAGAAGAGGAAAGUGGAAUUCCAUGUGUAGCGGUGAAAUGCGCAGAGAUAUGGAGGAACACCAGUGGCGAAGGCGACUUUCUGGUCUGUAACUGACGCUGAUGUGCGAAAGCGUGGGGAUCAAACAGGAUUAGAUACCCUGGUAGUCCACGCCGUAAACGAUGAGUGCUAAGUGUUAGGGGGUUUCCGCCCCUUAGUGCUGCAGCUAACGCAUUAAGCACUCCGCCUGGGGAGUACGACCGCAAGGUUGAAACUCAAAGGAAUUGACGGGGACCCGCACAGGCGGUGGAGCAUGUGGUUUAAUUCGAAGCAACGCGAAGAACCUUACCAAAUCUUGACAUCCUUUGACAACUCUAGAGAUAGAGCCUUCCCCUUCGGGGGACAAAGUGACAGGUGGUGCAUGGUUGUCGUCAGCCCGUGUCGUGAGAUGUUGGGUUAAGUCCCGCAACGAGCGCAACCCUUAAGCUUAGUUGCCAUCAUUAAGUUGGGCACUCUAAGUUGACUGCCGGUGACAAACCGGAGGAAGGUGGGGAUGACGUCAAAUCAUCAUGCCCCUUAUGAUUUGGGCUACACACGUGCUACAAUGGACAAUACAAAGGGCAGCGAAACCGCGAGGUCAAGCAAAUCCCAUAAAGUUGUUCUCAGUUCGGAUUGUAGUCUGCAACUCGACUACAUGAAGCUGGAAUCGCUAGUAAUCGUAGAUCAGCAUGCUACGGUGAAUACGUUCCCGGGUCU